rnacentral:tRNA from 1 species
GCAGUCGUGGCCGAGUGGUUAAGGCGAUAGACUAUAAAUCCAUUGGGGUCUUCCCGCACAGGUUCGAAUCCUGUCGACUGCG